CAAAGACCGGAGCUACAGAGCCCAGGCACCCAGCAGGGAAGGCUAAGGAAUCAACAAUGCAAUUAAAAGUCUUCAGCCAGCAAUGGAAAUAUUGAACAGUUGCACUGUUUCAAGUGAAGAGACAAUUGGUAACUCCAUAGACAGAGGGAAAAGCAUUAAGGUCAAUCCAGACAGGAUUUCAAUCAAGAGGAGAAAGCUAUCACUUGGUCAGAGACUUUGAAGGCAUGAAAAUUAAUCUGAGUACUCUGAAGGAGCUAGCCUGCCAAAGGAGGAAAAAUCAGAGCCUUUCAAACCAAAGGACUCAAAGAAAACAUCCUGGAAAGGCUAAAGCAAGGAGAGCGCCACAAGCCACCAGCUCAUUUUAAGUCAGUGAGGUACUGAACUAUUAAGGGGAAAGAAACUGGCAAUAUUGACUGAGAAAACUGGGACAAAGCCUGCAGAGGUUUAAUCCAGUUUGGUGCACAUACCUUUCAGCGUUACAUGAAAGCUUUUAGUUCCCUGGCCACACUGAAAUAGAAGACCUGAAAGCAACCUCAAAGGUUUCAUGAUUUGACUGCUCCAAGAAGGGAAAAAUAAAUUCAAGACCACAGAAUACAAGUAAACAGAAGCUGACUGGGGAAUCUCAAGAACUCAGGACAGCCUCAAACUCACAGGAAGUGUUCUUCUGCUCCAAAACUGUUUCAUUUUUCCAAAUCUGCUUGCUCUAAAAACUGUUUGUGCCAGCUUCCAGAAGGUGAAGGCUUCUGCUUCUUCAUUUGUUUGGGAUUAGCAAUAAAUUCAGACAAGUCCUCCCUCCCCUUUCAGCUCUCCCCAGCCUAACAACACGUUGUAGACCUCAUACCACUGGACACUGCAAAAAAAAAAAAAAAAAAAAGAUAAAAAUUGCUCAAAUGACUUGCUGACACACAGCAUGCUCAAAUGACUUGCUUUAGUUCACACAGCAAGUGCAAGUUAAGAGAGGGGAAUAAAAGUUCCCUAUUCUAUAAACACCACUCAAAAUGUGAAAAAAAUGAAAUUGAAUAGUCAAUAGAAUAUCAUGUCAAACACAGUUUGAAUACACCAGAGACUACACUGCCUCCUUCCUUCAUAUGGUACAGCCAGUGCCAAUUUAAUCCUGCUCAUGAAUCAUUUUGACUUCACUGUUGUUAGAAGCAAUCACAGAUCUCAUUCCAGCAUUUAAACAUUUGGCUCCAAUUCAU
ensembl:lncRNA